rnacentral:snRNA from 1 species
AAGCAGCAGCCGAAGCAUCAAGCAGACAAUCCCCUCGCCUUUUACUAGGGGAUUCCGUGAUGCUUCGGCAGCAUAAUGCUGCAUUACAAUCUUUGGAACCACCUUCUCCUAUGGAGUU